CUUCCGUUGCCAAUCCUUCCCUCCUAUAUCUUUGCUCUGACUCAGUCUUCUUCGAGGGGUCUCAAGCUCAUUCAUCAGACAACUACCACGACACAAGCUGCGAUCUGAAGAAAAUCCUUCCUUGUACCGUCUCAACAAACAACUCGGACCUAGUGAACGUCCAGGAUGGCCUCCACUAUGAUAUGUUCUAAUACAUUGAGCAAGGCAAAUUGUAAAGAGAUGACCCAGGGAUAAUAAUCUUGUUCAGCAGUGACAACGACAUCCAUCAAUGUUUGGGAUUGCCAGCAGUGGCCGCCUUGAUGUUGGGGCCAGGGAUACCAGUGCUCCAACAAGGGAUCACCGCAGCAGGGUCCAAACAAAAUCUCAGUGAUUGGCUGGACACAGUUGUAGUCCAGCAUUCCCCGGGUUCUUUAGUGCGCGAUGCGAACGGUAGGCGUAUCAGCGGCUUGUUUCAUCAGAUGGCAAGAAAUGUCCAUUCGGACGUCCUCCAAGUAUUCUCAUCCACAACCAUGCUGAAUUGGGGGGUUGAGUGCUUGGGCAUUAACUUGACUUUGGGAAAGCUUCUGACCGCGGAUGGGAUUGGGGUCAUUAAAGUUCACCCACCACGUAAUGGGUCCAUUCAUCUGACUCGAACUCUGAAUUGAUAUAGAACUUUAUAUAGUAUGCAAUAUUGUUCAUUUGAUCUCGAAUAUGGACUCGAACUCUGAAUUGAUAUAGAGUAUUCUCAAAUGUGGACUCGAACUAUGAAUUGAUAUAGUUAUAGUAUGCAAUAUUGUUCGUCAUAGGCGCGAGUGACUCCCCUAAACAAUGACUCCCGGUCACUCCUACCUAGUCACCAGUGACUCAUGCCUAGGAGUAAAU